rnacentral:ncRNA from 1 species
GUAUGGGGUGCUGUUAUUUAAACAGGUGAUAGCGGCUGAGAUUAAACCCGAGUACCUGAUCUGGAUAAUACCAGCGUAGGAAUCAAAUAAUGA